GACGAACGCUGGCGGCGUGCUUAACACAUGCAAGUCGAACGAUGAAGCCGGAGCUUGCUCUGGUGAAUUAGUGGCGAACGGGUGAGUAACACGUGAGUAACCUGCCCUUGACUCUGGGAUAAGCCUGGGAAACUGGGUCUAAUACCGGAUAGGACCACUGCCUGCAUGGGUGGUGGUGGAAAGCUUUUGCGGUGUGGGAUGGGCCCGCGGCCUAUCAGCUUGUUGGUGGGGUGAUGGCCUACCAAGGCGACGACGGGUAGCCGGCCUGAGAGGGUGACCGGCCACACUGGGACUGAGAUACGGCCCAGACUCCUACGGGAGGCAGCAGUGGGGAAUAUUGCACAAUGGGCGCAAGCCUGAUGCAGCGACGCCGCGUGAGGGAUGACGGCCUUCGGGUUGUAAACCUCUUUCAGCACCGACGAAGCGCAAGUGACGGUAGGUGCAGAAGAAGGACCGGCCAACUACGUGCCAGCCGCCGCGGUAA
rnacentral:rRNA from 1 species